rnacentral:rRNA from 1 species
UCCGGGUUGAUCCUGCCGGACCCGACUGCUAUCGGAUUGAGAUUUAGCCAUGCGAGUCGAACGUCCCCCUGUUGCGGGGGGCGUGGCGUACGGCUCAGUAACACGUAGUCAACCUGCCCUGGAGACAAGGACAACCCCGGGAAACUGGGAUUAAUCCUUGAUAGGUCAUCUCAUCUGGAAGGAGAGAUGGCUUAAAGGGGUACGCGGGCUUCUUCCGCGAAUCUGCUCCAGGAUGGGACUGCGUCCGAUCAGGCUGUUGGCGGGGUAAUGGCCCACCAAACCUGUAACCGGUACGGGCCUUGAGAGAGGUGGCCCGGAGAUGGACACUGAGAGAAGGGUCCAGGUCCUACGGGGCGCAGCAGGCGCGAAACCUUCGCAAUGCGCGAAAGCGUGACGAGGUUAAUCCGAGUGGCUUCCGCUGAGGAAGUCUUUUGCCGACUGUAAAAAGGUCGGAGAAUAAGGGGAGGGCAAGUCUGGUGUCAGCCGCCGCGGUAAUACCAGCUCCUCGAGUGGUCAGGACGUUUAUUGGGCCUAAAGCAUCCGUAGCCGGCUCUGCAAGUCUUCGGUUAAAUCCACCUGCUCAACAGAUGGGCUGCUGGAGAUACUACAAAGCUAGGGAGUGGGAGAGGCAGACGGUAUUCAGUGGGUAGGGGUAAAAUCCUCUGAUCCAUCGAGGACCACCAGUGGCGAAGGCGGUCUGCCAGAACACGUUCGACGGUGAGGGAUGAAAGCUGGGGGAGCAAACCGGAUUAGAUACCCGGGUAGUCCCAGCUGUAAACGAUGCAAACUCGGUGAUGCAUUGGCUUAUGGCCAAUGCAGUGCCGCAGGGAAGCCGUUAAGUUUGCCGCCUGGGAAGUACGGACGCAAGUCUGAAACUUAAAGGAAUUGGCGGGGGAGCA